GAAAAGCCCACCUUUUUAUUCCUUGAAAAAUCAAUUCACAAUUUCACUCGACCAUUUACAUAUGUACAAUUUGCUAUUUUUUGGAAAGGAUGUACAAUUCAUGUUACAUCAAUCAUAUGACAAAAAUGGACCAGAAAAGUAAUUUUGCCUCCAUCACAGGACUUGCUGAACUGCUCUUAUGUUUCUCUUCCUCCUAAUCUUCAGUUAUUUACAAAGGUCUUCCAUCAAUCUAUACAAAACAGAAGGGAUAGCAAAUAAGACCUCAGCUACAUGGCAUCACCAUAAAUCGCAGGUUCUAAUGGGAAGCACUGUAUGCAAUCAAACUACCAUGACAACAUCCUGAUUCCAUGGGGAAAAUGAAUCAAAAGCGCAUACCAAAGCAACAAGUCGGAUCUAGGUAAUUGCUCAUGCGUUGCAACGGGGGCAUAAGCAUAACCAAUUAUACCAAACAUGUACGAAAAGAUGGUCAAGUUCUUUCUUUACCAUUAUAUCACCCUCCUCCUUGUUCUUCUUCCACCCACCAUCGCCAUCUAUCAGUACAAUCUCAUCGCUGCACUCAAUAGCCCAUCCAGCUCAUAUGAUGAAUAGUAUGAAAUAUAAGUAGUUCUCAGUAAAGAAACUUAAUGGCAAGGUACAUCGUGGUAUGAUUCAGACGGAAGGCACACACAUGAGAAACUGUUAAUAUAGAAAGGGAAAACACACGUAAUUUGUCAACAACUGUCAAAAGCUUUGAAGAAAUUAUUAACAACCUAAAAGGCCAUCACCUAUGUAUUCACUUUUUCUUCUGAAGAAAGGGUUGUCAUUGCACACAAAUUGAUGCAGGCAAAGAAAUAUGUAUUUACAAUUUUAUUUUCCUCUACAAAUCCAAGUACACAUCUGCGUGGAAAUAUCAAAAUCAAAUAGCACAGAUAGCUUCAACUAUAGCAUUGCUGGAUGUUGUAAUUCAGCCUUGUUAACACGCAUAUAAUAAAAAUACAAAGGUCUUUACCAUAAUUCCUCCUUGCUACUGGCACCCAAACCGGCAUGGGAAACAACACUUUAAAGCCCACGGCCAUGACACAAAAUCUCCAAGUUGUUUUACACGAACUCGAUCAGAUUGGACAUACGAUUCUCCAAAACAAUGUAUAUUUUCUGUACUCAAU
rnacentral:lncRNA from 1 species